AAAUCCGUCGAUUUANAAAUCGUAAGGG
rnacentral:tRNA from 1 species